GAAGUUGGACCUCAGUGGUAGAGUGCGUGCUUAGCAUGCAUGAGGUCCUGGGUUCAAUCCCCAGUACUUCCA
rnacentral:tRNA from 1 species